ACCUGCAGAAUAAGCACCGGCUAACUACGUGCCAGCAGCCGCGGUAAUACGUAGGGUGCAAGCGUUAAUCGGAAUUACUGGGCGUAAAGCGUGCGCAGGCGGUUGGAUAAGACAGGUGUGAAAUUCCCGGGCUCAACCUGGGAACUGCAUUUGUGACUGUUCGACUAGAGUGCGGCAGAGGGGAGUGGAAUUCCGCGUGUAGCAGUGAAAUGCGUAGAUAUGCGGAGGAACACCGAUGGCGAAGGCAACUCCCUGGGCCUGCACUGACGCUCAUGCACGAAAGCGUGGGGAGCAAACAGGAUUAGAUACCCUGGUAGUCCACGCCCUAAACGAUGUCGACUAGUUGUUGGACGGGAUACUGUUCAGUAACGUAGCUAACGCGUGAAGUCGACCGCCUGGGGAGUACGGCCGCAAGGUUAAAACUCAAAGGAAUUGACGGGGACCCGCACAAGCGGUGGAUGAUGUGGUUUAAUUCGAUGCAACGCGAAAAACCUUACCUACCCUUGACAUGCCAGGAACUUGCCAGAGAUGGCUUGGUGCUCGAAAGAGAGCCUGGACACAGGUGCUGCAUGGCUGUCGUCAGCUCGUGUCGUGAGAUGUUGGGUUAAGUCCCGCAACGAGCGCAACCCUUGUCAUUAGUUGCUACGCAAGAGCACUCUAAUGAGACCGCCGGUGACAAACUGGAGGAAGGUGGGGAUGACGUCAAGUCCUCAUGGCCCUUAUGGGUAGGGCUGCACACGUCAUACAAUGGGCGGUACAGAGGGUCGCCAACCCGCGAGGGGGAGCCAAUCCCUUAAAACCACUCGUAGUCCGGAUUGUAGUCUGCAACUCGACUGCAUGAAGUCGGAAUCGCUAGUAAUCGCGGAUCAGCUUGCCGCGGUGAAUACGUUCCCGGGUCUUGUACACACCGCCCGU
rnacentral:rRNA from 1 species